rnacentral:rRNA from 1 species
CACGUAGAGUGCGAGCGUUGUCCGGAAUUAUUGGGCGUAAAGAGCUCGUAGGCGGUGUGUCGCGUCGGCCGUGAAAACCUGCAGCUUAACUGUGGGCUUGCGGUCGAUACGGGCAUCACUGGAGUUCGGCAGGGGAGACUGGAAUUCCUGGUGUAGCGGUGAAAUGCGCAGAUAUCAGGAGGAACACCGGUGGCGAAGGCGGAUCUCUGGGCCUCACCUGACGCUGAGGCGCGAAAGCUAGGGGAGCGAACAGG